AAUGCAUAUAUUUAUUUAUUUUAAAUUUGAAUCAGGUUUUUUUUCUUCUCGGAAGUCAUUCCGUUCUAAGGAAGAUGAGUAUUGGUUAUGAUGUAAUUUAUUUGUGUGUCCAGGGAAAGGUCACCAAAUGUACAUGUAAGGGGUGAAUCAAGUAUUUUCCUUGAUUCCUCGCAUCCUCUCACCUUCUCAAAAUGUCAGACAGAAGCGAGGUGAGCAAUGGAGCAGAAUAUUUCCAAUGCUCUCUUCACUUCCCUCUAAUGUUUUGAGGAGAGGAAGGGGACACAAGGAAUCUGGGAGAAGAAUUGUGAGAACCACCCACCCAGAGUGAUUAUUUUCUUCUCUUAACUUCUACAAUAUUCAUGGCUGGACUAGAAAAACGACAUCAACAACAUGGUGCCAUACUACCAGAGUCGAGUAAAAAUUUCUGGUCUGAAUUAAUUUAGCAAUUUAGUCCAAUUUAGUUGAAAACAGGUGUCCGAUUUAUUUCUUUGCUAAUUUUACAGUAAAUCUUAACAGGCACACUCCAAUGUCAGGAAGGAAUGCACAUUAUUCAGGGAGUCUUUGUUGCCAUAAUUGAAGCAACAAGUAGUUUAAUUGACAUAACUUUGGAUUUGUGCACCAAAACUUAGAUCAAAUGCAUGAACUGCUAUCAUACUGUCCGAGGACUGUCCUGUUCUGCUAUGGUCAACCUACAGUACCACAGAGAGAUGUCAUGUCUACUCUAUGGUGACAGAUGCUGGACUUGUUGUGUGCUGCCACAUAAGGAUUGUUCAAGUGUAUUGCGCUUGAGACUUCACUACUGAACACCCUAAUGAAGGUCUGAGACUGGAACAUUGGUUCUGACCACUAAAAGUAAAGUGUGCAAACAUAACGGGAGUUCCAUUGUUUGAGUUUUAAUUGUUUCAGAAUUAUUUGAAUCCUUCAAACACCUGGGUCUUGUUCAAUAGGCACGGAACAGAAUGCCUUUCGAAUGCCUUUCGAAAAACAAAGGAGGUGCCAUGGGAAAUUCUACAACACAGAUGUUUGUUUUCUGUUGCAAAGCACUUCGCUGCAGUGUACCUUAUUGAACAUGACACAGCACAUUAUCAGUUGUCUGACUAGCCAAACUUAUUGUGCCUUUGUGUUUGCUUUUACAGAUAUCAUGAUGUGCAAUGGAUUUUGUUUGGCAAACACAGAGACCAUCUUCUAUGACUACAGUGCACCACAGGAUAGAGACCUGUCAGUGUCCACAUGCACAGUCUGCAGGAUUUGGAACAAGUCACCAAACAUCAACAUGCCUGCAACUUUCUCACGCUAGAUUUUCCAAUGCCUUGUCUUCAGAGUAUUUCCUCUUUUCAAUAUUUUUUCAUGUAUGAUACCCAAUCUGGGCUUAAGGAGACCCUGGACCUCGUUGAGACAGCAUCAACCAAAUGUACUGUUGUGCCGAAGACCAAGAAACGGUUUCCCCUAACCUGACCUACUAUGAGACUGAUAUUCUGGAAUGAAUGGCAGUGGCUGCCAUAUUGUUUGAGUCUGUAUGGCUCUCACUUAUGUCUAUCUAUAAUGUCACUGGUCCGGUCCAAAUGUUGUAGGUUAGACUGCCGCUGCUAGAUUCAAAUAGUUUCAUGUUUGUGACACGAUAGUAAGGGAGUAAAAAUACUAUCACUAUGCUCUGAGACCAUUUGAGAUUAGGGUCUUCACGCUCUCGUUCUUCAAACUGAUAAACCAAUACUGCAUUGUUACUCUAAUAAACACAUUUUUAAAAGGGAACAAGUCUUUAUUUUAAGUGUGAAUAUUCAGUCUACAAUAUUUUUCCUAUUUUUUCAGUUUUCCCAUUUUGUAGUUAUUGCACUGGUGUUCCAGAAGUUAUAUGUUGCUUUGCAGUGAGAGUUAUUGUCAUUCCUAUUGAGGUAAAAUCACCAGAUGUGUUUUCCAACAUGCAGGGAAUAGGUUCACUCGACUUAUUCUAGGGUUUCACAUCCUGGAAAUUUGGUAUGUUAAAGUUUUAUUGAUAAAUACCAGUUGGAAAUGGAUGAGAUGGGGAAAUGAGAGGGAUAUAGCACAGAAAGUGAGUGGCAGGGCCAGGGAUAUCAAACUAUGUGGAGCAAUGUGUGGUCCGGGGUUGGCAGCACUACCACUAGACUCCGCCACAUUUCCAUGGAUCUCUACCCCUAUCGCAUAUCUUGCUGGUGCCCACAUUGGCGUAUGAUUAAACCUGAUGUCAGAAUAUGGGGGGAGAAAAGAUUACAUGAGAGAAUAAGUAUGUGUAAAGUGCAUGUAUCUCAGGUCCACAUUGGAAUUGGUGCCCAACUCCAGAAUGUAAGGUGAACAACAUUGUAAUCAACUGACCAAUAAAGAUAAAGCACAUACCAGAAAUGA